rnacentral:lncRNA from 2 species
GUACACUGCAGUUGUCUCCGAGGUGAACCUCCGGAGCCUUGGCACAGCUCGCUUCUAAAGCUUGGAAAUGACCCGCCACACCUGAAGCCUGCAGGUGCUGAGGCCACAUUCGAUCAGACCCAAGCUUUGGGAGACCGCUGGGGAAAUUUCCCACUUCCUCUCCUGAGACCAGGAACUCAGCAGAGAAACUUUGUGGUAAGU